UUCCACCGCCCUGUUCCCCGGCGAAGGCCGGGGCCCAGUUGCGGUGAAGGAUCGAUGGCGCGCCACCGACCAUGAAGACACUGGACCCCGGCCUUCGCCGGGGAACAGGCGACACGG
rnacentral:pre_miRNA from 1 species